AUAGACCACUUUCUCCAGAGUCCAUAGAAUAGGUAAGGCCUCUGGGAAUAGACCACUUUCUCCAGAGUCCAUAGAAUAGGUAAGACCUCUGGGAAUAGACCACUUUCUCCAGAGUCCAUAGAAUAGGUAAGGCCUCUGGGAAUAGACCACUUUCUCCAGAGUCCAUAGAAUAGGUAAGACCUCUGGGAAUAGACCACUUUCUCCAGAGUCCAUAGAAUAGGUAAGGCCUCUGGGAAUAGACCACUUUCUCCAGAGUCCAUAGAAUAGGUAAGGCCUCUGGGAAUAGACCACUUUCUCCAGAGUCCAUAGAAUAGGUAAGGCCUCUGGGAAUAGACCACUGUCUCCAGAGUCCAUAGAAUAGGUAAGGCCUCUGGGAAUAGACCACUUUCUCCAGAGUCCAUAGAAUAGGUAAGGCCUCUGGGAAUAGACCACUUUCUCCAGAGUCCAUAGAAUAGGUAAGGCCUCUGGGAAUAGACCACUUUCUCCAGAGUCCAUAGAAUAGGUAAGACCUCUGGGAAUAGACCACUUUCUCCAGAGUCCAUAGAAUAGGUAAGGCCUCUGGGAAUAGACCACUUUCUCCAGAGUCCAUAGAAUAGGUAAGGCCUCUGGGAAUAGACCACUUUCUCCAGAGUCCAUAGAAUAGGUAAGACCUCUGGGAAUAGA